AUUUGGAAAAUGCCUCCUGGAAAGGGCUGUCCAGCCCUGGCAGAGCUGCCCAGUCCCCAUCCCUGAGGAGACUGAACAGUGGAGUGGAUGUGGCACCUGGAGACAUGGGCUAGUGCUGGUCCUGGGAGUGCUGGGGGAGCAGCUGGACGCAGUGAUCAUUGAAUCAUGGAACGGUUUGGGUUGAAGGGACCUUACACUUUAUCCAGUUCCACCUCCCUGCCAUGGACACCUUCCACUAGCCCAGGCUGCUCCAAGCCCUGUCCAACCUGGCCCUGAACACUGCCAGGGAUGGAGCAGCCACAGCUUCUCUGGGCACCCUGUGCCGGGGCCUCACCACCCUUACAGGGAAGGAUUUCUUCCCAACAUUCCAACUAAACUCACCUCUGGCAGUGGGAAGCCAUUCCCCUUGUCCUGUCUCUCCAGGCCCCUGUCUAAAGUCCAGAUCUCUUGGAGUCCCUUCAGGCACUGGAAUCGAGGAAACGAUUCAUCAACGGCUUGGCUUCUCUUCUGUGGGCAGAACACUUCUGCUCUCUAAUGGAAUGUAGUGUUGUCUUUGUUUGCAUCUUUGAUAUAAUCCCUCUUCUGUCAUCAGGAAACUGCAAAGGAUCUGUUUUGAGGCCCCAAAAAUGAUGGUGUUGCUGGCAGUGACAUGGUUUUGAUAUGGCUAUUUAAGGCAGGACCUAUCAGACUGAACACUGCUGACAGCUGGUGACAGAGGUGGCUGUAUCAGCACCGGCCAUCCCAGAGACCUUGGAAUGGUGCCACUAUGUACAUGGGGGUAAUUCAGACCUUCCAGGCCAAGAUGAACUGCAGCUAAACCCCACUGGAUACAAGGGAGCUACACCAUCUAUCUGGUAUCUCACAGUGUCUCACCAGGCUCCCUCUGCCAACGGCAUUCAAACAAAGCACACUCGUGUCCCAGAUUGAUGAUGUCUGGAUUAACCACACGGGGUAAAACAAAGUGUGUGGAAUGAGCCCCUGGCUCCAUCCACCAGUGAGGCGCUGGCGCUGUGAUCACUGCCAGGAUGUGAGGAACAGACACAUUACCUGCCCCAGAGGCACCACAAGCACACACAAGGUAAUCUGGACAGCAGGACCUCAUUCCAGAGCUGCUCCUCUAGCAGUGCAGAUCCAUGGGCUCUUUGAUAGUGGAGAAGGUGGUGAAUCUUCCCCUUGACUCCACACGGGUGACUCAUCCCAGCUGCCACUCUGGGUUUGAUCUGCUCAGGCUCUGCAUGUGUACAGAUUAUCUGGGUUAAGUGCAGCUUUGCUUUUGCCCUUUAUCUGUCUGCUCUGAAGCUGUUUAACAUGAUCUGCCUGUUUUCAUGCCAGCUCAGUUUCAGGAGUCCCAGGCACUGACUGGCACUGAGCACUGGCUGAUUGUUCUGCAGUGACCGCAGGCUUGGUCACUCAUCUCACAGGUCCCCAGUGCAAUUCCUACCCCUGCUGUGCUGACAGAAUUGGGAAAGUCUCUUCAGUGUUGCACGAGUCAUUCCCCUCUAGCUCUUCACAGUGACUUUUUUAUUGUGGAGAAAUCCCACAUUAUUCUAACAAGCAGAACCAACAUCUGCAUGGAACUCUGGGUGUGGGAACAGAAAUGUGGUCUUGCACAGUUUCACUGCUAGAAGCUGUUUGCUUUUUUAAAGAAAACUGCCUUCAAUUAAAGGGGCUGAUGAGGAAUAAUCUGCGAAGAAUCAGUGUUGUAUUUAUACAGCAGCACUGUUUGGGGACCAGGCAGGAAGUUGUUGGGAGGGUUUGCUGUUUUGUU